UUGCAAGCUUACAUGUUUUGACCUUAUUGUCUUUGUUUUUGGUCUUAAUGUAGUCCAAUUUAGCAUAUGUAGUGGAAAAUUGGUAUCCAUGAUUAUUCUUAGAGGUUUCAAAGGAUAUGUGAACGAACUCCGUUUCUGCAGUGCAUACUUUCCAAAGGAUAUUCAUGGGAUUGCAAGGAUUCUCGCAAAUGCCGGCGCAAAUCAGCAGAGGAUACUAUUAAGAGGCUUAUGAAUUAGGUUAGUCUUUGAUAAUUUAAUGCGAGAUUUUAAUAUCUGAUGUCUAACUCUUCAGCUCCCACUGUUUUAUGGUUAGACCAGUCUCAUCUGAAUGAGCAAUUGAAAUAUAUUGUCUUAAAGAAUGUGUUUGUCAAUUUACUGAUUUGGGUACGUAAUUGACUUACAUUUUGUUAUCCAGUUGAGGGAUAUGGCUAAUUUAUUGAACUUGUCAUGUUAACAUUCUGUACCGAUAUUGUGACCGGAGGUAAGAACAAGAGGCUGAAAGUAAAGGGACCUGUGAGGAUGCCAACAAAAACUCUGCACAUCACUUCCAGGAAGACCCCCUGUGGAGAAGGUACUAACACCUGUGAUUGUUUUGAACUCCGUCUGCACAAGAGAGUUAUCGGUCUUGUCAACUCAUCCGAGGUUGUGAAACCUGAUCACUUCGAUUACUAUUGAACCCGGUGUUGAGGUUGAGGUCAUCAUUGCUGACCCAUGAAGCAUCUAGUAAAUGGUUAUUUGCAGAAUCUCCUUUUAUGUUUGUUUCUCUAAGUUUUUCUGUAUCAUAGGUCUUUUACUUUGAAUUUCAAUUUAAGUUAACUUGGGU